UACGGAGGGUGCGGGCGUUGUCCGGAAUCACUGGGCGUAAAGGGCGCGUAGGCGGCUCAUGAAGGCUGUGGUGAAAGUCCGGGGCUCAACCUCGGAUCGGCCGUGGCGACUCGUGGGCUGGAGCACUGUAGAGGCGGGUGGAAUUCCGGGUGUAGCGGUGGAAUGCGUAGAGAUCCGGAAGAACACCAGUGGCGAAGGCGGCCCGCUGGGCAGUGGCUGACGCUGAAGCGCGACAGCGUGGGGAGCAAACAGG
rnacentral:rRNA from 1 species